CAACACAUGAGUUGUGUAACUGACGUUGCGGGUAUUUGGUCACAGUUCGGUGAACUAUUUGCUACUUACUAAUUCAACUAUGGGCUCACCUAUCUGCGCUCGUACGGCGGCUAUUUUGCUCUCUCUUCCAGAGCUGAAUGUGCCCACAUAUUUUCGACUUCUUUAAGUGAUUGGGCCGUCACAGGUUGACGUCACGCCUUGGCUCAUUGUGCAAUGUUGGCGGAAUUUAGUCGGAUCUGCUUUUCUCAUCCAUUCACCUUUAUUAAAUACCAUCACGAUCAUUUUCGGCUCUGUAAAUAGUCUCAAUUUCCCGAUUGGAAGACUCGUGAGAAAGAGUAGCAGUGAGCACAUACAGAUGUAGCUAAAAAUAUCUCAGAAUUAAUAGCAACAAUUUCUAGCUACAAUUAGCCACAAGUAGCAACUAAAAAUUCAGGGAUCCUAGAAAUUACUUCCUACAAGUGUCCAUGCACAAUUUUUACGUAGCGGCCAGAGAGAAUAGAGGUCAGAGGAAUACGCUCAAAGUCCCCCUGCUAUAUGAGUCGUCAUCGUCAUGCGUGUCAUGCACACUUGAACUAAUUACAUUUAAAAUUUGGAGUUACAUCAAUUAGUUGAUUCAGUCGUCAAAAUAAUAUUUUUUAUUUCUUACUAAAACAAUUUCAUUCGUUGCGUAUUCGCAUCUCGUUACAAAAAUUGUUUCACAUUUUCGACAUGCUCAUUUUAAAAUAGCUGAUGUCAUUUUUUUCUGUACUUGUAAUAAUUACUUUUUAUACGUCGUUGACAUACACAACUUUACGUAUCAUUUGGGAUAUAAACACAGUACAAGUACAA